GGCUCUUGGGCCCAUCCGCGGUGUAAGAAGCAGAGAUCAUGAACACGGAAGGGGAGGGGCACUCGCACUGCAGUGUCCACCCGUGCAGCCCUGUGCCGGAUGCCUGCGUCUGUUGCUGUCUGUCUCCUGCAACACUCACAACCGGCCUGUGAAGCGGAUUCCUUCUCUGUAACAGGUUCAGCUUUUACGAGCGGAGAAGCUGGGCUUCUGAGGGUGACAGAUCUCGCCCAAGUCCACCCACCGCCUAAGUGGCAGAGCUGCUGUCGGUACCCAGGUGGCCAAGGUGGAAGGACAAGAGGGUGCGAGCCCUCCCCCAGCCCCUGUGCGCAGCAGCCUCCUUCAUCUCCCAUGCCUGCCCCUGCCCCUCAAUGGCCAAGGCCUGGACCCUGGAGGACCCUUUCAGACCACAGCCUCUGCCAUCACAGAGCACCACAGCACGGUGGGCUCAGACAGCACAAACUACGAGCUCGUUCUGGAGACUGGAAGUCCAGGAAAGAACACUUUCUUCACCACCUGCAAACAGAAGACUGACAGGCCCAUUUUUUAGGUUGCUGACCGUCCCCAGUCAGACUAAGUAGGUGACGGUGGAAUGGCCCUCCCUGCUUUUCAGAGGCAAGAAACACUUCUCAAAGUUGCACAAAUGAAAUAAAU